ACUAGAAUUAUAAACCAUAGAUUAGGGGUUAAAAGUGAAAUACUUAAGGUGAACUUCUUCAGUCAGAGGGUGGUGUAAGUGUGGAAAGAGCCAUCUGCAGAACUGGCAAAUGCAACAUUUAAAAUAAGUCCAUGGAUGGAAGAGGUAUGGAGGACAUUGGUCUAGUUGCUGGUCAAUGGGACUAGGCAAAAUAACAAACUAGAGAAAAUCUGUAGAAGCUGGAAAUCCAAGCAACACACACAAAAAGCUGGAGGAACUCAGCAGCCUAGGCAACAUCUAUGGAAAAGACUACAGUCGACGUUUCGGCGGAGACCCUUCAUGAAUCCUGAUAAUAACAGAUCAGUUCAGAGUAGAUAGGAUGAAGGACAUGUUUCUGUGCUACUGUGCUCCAUGAUUUUAUAAUUGGCAGGCAUUUGAGAUAGUUGACGGGCAUUUGAGAUAGUUGACGGGCAUUUGAUUGAGAAAAAAUAUGGGAAAAUGGAAUCCACUGUGAUCCACCAUGGACAAUAGGCCAAGCGCUAUUUUUCCGUGCAAUAAGAGUGCAUGAGGAUGUGGGCAUUUGUGAGCAUAAACUUUAGGCCAGUACUUUAGUGCUAUACUGAGUGAUUACUGCAUUUUGAAUGAGAUGCAAGUGGCUCUCUGAGGAGCAAAAGAGUUCACCUGAUAUCCUAGCUAAAGUUGUUGAUUUUGGGACCUUACUGGGUAUAAAUUGCCCUCUUUACUUUUUUUUUUGCAUCAUUAAAGAACUCAGUUUCUUAGUACUACCAAGUCACCACAUACAGGUCUUUCAUCAGAUUAAGAAAUAUAAAUUGUACUGUGCUUCAUACACAAAUUCUUUAUUUCAUCAUAUUGUUUAUUUUAGGUACAGUAUGAAGUAUCGGUUGCCCUGACUCUGGCUGAUUCAGCAAUUCCUAGCAGUAGAAAAGGCAAAUAUAUUUAUUAUCCAGGUACAUAUAGAUGUCACCGUAUACUACCUCAAUAUUUGUUUUCUUGCAGGCAUUUGCAGGAAAACAAAGAAAUAAAAUUAAAUCCGUGAAAAACUAUACUUAUACAAAGACUGACUAUCAAUGUGCAAAAGAAGACCAAUAAUGCAAUUAAAUAAUACUGAGAACAGGAAGUGUGUUCAUUCGUUGUGGAAUCAGCUCAGAGUUGAGGUGAGUGAAGCUAUUCACGCCAGUUUAGGAGCCUGAUGGUUGAACAGUAAUAGCUGUUCCCGAACCUGGAGUUGUGGGUCCUAAGGCUCCAAAGAACAAUGGGUUGAUUUAGCAGCAGGAGCUUAACCCUUUAACAAGCUUUAAAACAAAUGCAUAAACAUUGCAGUAAAUUAAGUACACAAAAAAUGUACAAAUAAAACUUUGUGCAAAAAUAGUUUUGAAAAGUUUAUAGGCAAUUAGUUAAGUUGAAGAGCAUUUAAAAAUUCAGAACAUUAAGUGAGCUUUUUCUAAGCAUUAUUCUGGAACUCCUUAACAUCCUUCAGCAGAAAGAAAGAUGACAAAAAGAUAGCAGGAAGCUCAUUAUAUUAAUGCCAGAAUAAUCACAAUUAUAAAAAGGAAAGCUUCAGCUCUGAAAUAACAAGCAAAACAUCAAAAAGGAGAACUUCAAACUAGAUGAUUAAAGUUAGACACACAAAAUGCUGGAGGAACAUAGCAAGCCAGACAGCAGCUAUGGAGGGGAUUAAACAGUCAAUACUUUGGGUGGAAAACAAAUGUUGAAGGAACUCAGCAGGUCAGGCUUCUAUGGAGGGCACAAACAUUCAACACUUCAGGCCCAGAUCCUUCAUCAGGUCUCGGUCCGAAGCAUCGACUGUUUAUUUCCCUUCAUAAAUGCUGUCAGAUUUGCUGAGCUCCUCCAGCAUUUUGUCAAUAUUCCCAGGAUCUGCAGAAUACCUUGUGAUAAUAUGUUGAUGACUGAAGUUACAUAGGACAGAGUACGGCUGGUAGAGCCCCUUGUACUUUCAUUUCUGCUUUUGCGGUUCUGUUAUUGCUGUGGAAUCUCGAUCUGAACUCGCUGUGAUGCCAGACCAUGACUCACAAUGACCAAGCAAUCCAAUGCACACUGAAAGGACCUGAUUUUAUAGUUCAGGUUCCAGUCAGGUCAGCUUUAGAAAACAAGACACAGGUCCUCAAACUGGAAACCACCUCAGAUUUGGCUGGGACAGCAAUAGCGGGCUCUUUAUAAAUAACUAUGGUAAUGAAGUCACCUGAUGUUUCACUGCUUUUGAGCAAAGUUGAGCCAUUAGCAUUUAUUCACAGAUACAGUUAGUACAACAAAUGGUUUCUGUACAUUGGCUGAGCUAUUUAAGGGAGGGUUUGGCAGAAAAUAUGCAGACUAGAGUUGAAAGUCGGCUGAAAGGGGCUGGUACAACAAGUAGGUGUGAAACUGGCUGGAUCUAUGUAAGAAAUUUAUGUUACUUUCAUCGCCGGUGCCGACUCACACUCAGCAUAAUGAAGUGGUCUCCGAGGACUUCUGGAACAAGUUGGCUUGACAAGACUGCCUACAGAGGAGAGUUUGACACCCUGACACAGUGGUGCCAAGAUAACAACCUCUCUGUGUCCAAAAAAACAAAUGAGCUGAUUGUGGAUUACAGGAGGAGUGGAGAACAGGCUCGCCCCGAUCAACAUCAAUGGGACUGUAGUUGAGAGGUUCAACAGGUACUUCAACACUGAAAAGAUGUCAACAGUCAUGUGAUAAUGAUGGAACAUCUAUCAAGCCUGACAUUGCAAUCAAUGUAUAAACUCUGAAACAUGGUUUUAAUCAAUGUAGAAACUCUGAAACUCUGCAAAACCCCUUUAUCUAACUGUCAAGUGAAUGUCAAUUAUAUGAAUUGUUCCAAUUGAUACUAAAAGCUCUCUUACCAAUGUAAAUGUCACAGCAUAACAGAGGCUGAAGGUUACAAUUUGACUUUAGUGUACAGCAAACUCAAACAGCACAAGAUUAUUCCAUGAUAAAACAUCUAAGGUUGUGAAAUAUGGCUUAUGAUAUAACAGCAUUAAAAGCAAUUUUUGGGGUUAUGUGCCUGUAGACGAAUAAAUGAAAGAGUUAAUGGAAUUCUAUUGAGCUUUCUUGUCAAACAUAAACUAAAUGACCAUUUCCCUUGAAAUACAUCCAUGUUUGAUAGCUUUAAACACAGUCUCUAGUUGUACUUUGCCUCUGAAGUUCCUCCAAUUUACUUCAAUGGAAUGAGUUUGAAGGACAGAGUACAAUGUGACUACAUAGCAUGUUUAGCACCACUGAUCAGCAAUUAACUUCAGGACAUUCGUGUAGCUUAAAUUAUGUUCUGAAUCAUUGUAACUGAAAAACAAUUUCAAAUAACUUUAAACACAAAGAUAUUAUUUCAAAUGUUUGUUCACAACUGACUUAUUUUUAAACCCGUUUUAACUUUCCUUAUCAUCAAGAUCCAGUUUUACCACAUCCCCCCUCUGGUCCUUUGCACACUUCCACAUGCCACAAAGUCCUUCAUUUCACAAGACUUAGAUUUCCUGGAGUUUGCUCUUGGCCUAAUUUUUGGCCUUAAAAGCUGCCUCCUGCUUUUGUUGGUGUUGUUCCUUUCUGCGUCCUAUGGCACAUCGGGCAGCAACCUUGCUGUUUCACUAGUUUUUUUUGGUCUGUUUUUUUUAAAUGAAGCCGAGUUGCUAGCUUGACUGUCAUGGCAGCACGGAUGGACAGCGUACAAGGAACCAGCCGGAUUUGAACCCAGGACCACUCGCCUCGAAGUCCAGUGUGAGUGCCCUUACACCACCAGUCGGUUCCCUCAUGUUCUUCUUUUAUAUAUAAACAUUAUCACAUUCAGUCAAGUUGGUCCAUGCUCUACCUGUGACUAAUUCCAAUUCUCUUCAUUUAAUUCUAAUAACUGAAAAGGAAGAAGUGUUGCGAACCAGACAAAGAUCAAACCUGUCUUUGUGUUGAUAUCAUCCCCUAAUGCAGCAGGAGUUCCCAAACUUUUUAUUCUAUGGAUCAAUACCAUUAAAGCAAGGGGUCUGUGAACCCCACAUUGGGGAUCCUGUUCUAAUGCAAUAAGCUGAAGAGCGGGUCACAAAAAAAAAGUGAAAGCAUCAAUUGACCAUAGAUUAAUGGAUGUUUCCCAACCUGCAUCAAUGACCACCCAUGCAUCAUCUUCCUCAUGUGAUAUGAUAGAAUAGUCUAUGGAAAUAAUUUGGAAGAUGUGUAUCUCGGAUGGCUGAUGGUUGGUUUCAGUGUGCUGUUGAUUGUAGUGUGUCCUAAAGGCCAAGAAUUCGGAGGACACACCACAAUCAAGAGCGCACUGAUGAUAUCUCCUUGCAGGGUGAUGAAACAUUUGCAAGGAAAUUCCUAAGAUCAGAGAACAACUCAACCAAACCAGCAGAGUCAGCAUAUAAAUAUGGAUACACGUAUAAGCCACACUCAGCAACUGAAUAAAGAUGAAAGAUUGUAUUUAAAUUCUGGCUGGUGUCCAUUACUUUCUAAAACAGGA